UUCAAGUCCAAGGCCUACAAAACAAGUUUUCCUUUGAAGGUCAGCAGCUCUGAUUACAUUUCUUUAUUUAGAACAUUGUUUUGUUGAAGCUGAUUCCAUUACUUUUGAGUUCACAGAAGUGGAGCCUACUAGAAAAUCGGCAGUCAAGAGGCUCCCAAAGAGGCUUAGCGAGUGAUGCUAAGGUUCCAGACUUUGGAAGCCACAGGCAGCUCACCUCAGGACACCAGAAGCAGGACCACACCGACUCCUCCUCCGUGGUUGACAGCAAAUUCCCAUGCUGAAGCUCAUUUCUUCCAUCUCCCGCUUCACACCCACCCCCCCUACAAAUCCUAGCCUAAGUCUUCUCUGCGCCAGGGGUUCUCAAACUAAUGACAUAAGAAUCACCUGGGGGGCUUGAUAAAGUGGAUUGCCAGGCCCCCCACACCUGCACUGGGGGCUGAGCUUUGCUUUUCUAACAAGUGUCCAGGUGUCCUCUUAAAGCAGAUCCUCCUGCUUUAGCUCCGGAACCACCGCCCAGGAAAGGGCCCACCUCGGAUGGAAGAUGGACUUUUGCUGGGAAGUGAGGCUUAUCCCUUUCCUGUGUGGAGGCCAACCAGAGAGAUGCCCAGGAUCUGACUCACUUGAGGGCAUGGGGAAGGGGAAAAUCUUAUCUUAUGGGCUAGGACAAAGGAAUGCGUUGCCUCGUAAGACUGCUUGAGCAAGAAAGGACCUCAGGAACCCUCUGCCUCACCCCAGCGAUGAGAGGGUCCAAGGCAGUGGAUGACUUCUUCAAAGUUCCCCACCAUUGGUGAGCCUGCCUGAGGCCAGCUCUGCUCCUUCUGUGUCCCAUCAGCCUGUGGGUCUAGACUGGGCUCUGAAAGCAGGAGGGGGGUGGGUAGAAGGUGGGGGAGGGAGCUGCAGUCUUUGUCAUUAUGUGCGUGUGAGAGGAGACCAUAAGAGCUAGAGAGAGCCAGAGAGCUCAUUCACCCUCCCCUCGCAGGUUUGAUUGAGCAAACCUGGUGUCCUUGGCACCUGGCCCAGCACCUGGCGGGGAGUUGGCGUCCAGCAAAUAUGCACAGAAGGAAAGGAAGGUGGCAGCCCGGCUUCACCCCUGCCCACUGUGGGGAGCACUGGGGUGAGGGAGGGUAAGGCUUUCUGAGGUACUUUUCCACUCCUUCCCUUUCUGCAUCUCCCAUCCAGCAAGUCCCGGUUCUUGCUGUGUCCACAGCAAUGCAGCUGUGGGAUUUAUUUUUCUGCUCCCUGUGGUGAAUGUGUCCCUCCCUGAGGGUAUUUUCAUCUUUAAGGAGGACUCAUAACCCGGGCGACUUAAACCCCAGGCAUGGAAUGCGGGGCCUCAGGGUGAGCAAUGUUGUGCAAGGAAGGGAUUCAGGAGCAGUGGGUUCCAGCCGGUUCUGCACUCCCACGCGCCUCAGACUAACCUCCUGCAUCUCGCCUCAGGCCUCAGGGGUCAAUGAUGCUGCUUCCCUGGGGUUGGCUUUGGGGGAAGUGCCCGUGCCACCUCUAAGGGGACCCUGUGUGUUUUACGGGGGCACUUCUGGGAAUUAGCUGAGCUGCUGUUUAGCGCAUCUUUGCCCACCUGCCCAAGGAGUAGUGAAAGAGGGUCAAAGGUGCUGAAUUCUUCUAGCAGCUUCUGAGAUAAGAGCUCCUACCAAGUGAGGGGGGUGGGGGCAGCAGCCUUGGCUAUUUGCCAGCUGGAGACCAAUCCGAGCCUGGGAAAGGGAGUCAAGUCUGCCCCUUGGGAAGCCCAGGGUGGUGUGCGGCCCUGUCUCCCAAUUCCUUUCACAGACUGGGAGUCACAGGGUGCUGGGCAGGGACCUGUGGCAGGGCAGGGACACCUGGAACUGCUGCAGAUUCUUGGUCAGCUGGUAAGCUGGGAGGCCCAACCACCAAGUCACCAGGGACUUCUGAGACAAACCCAGCAGCCCCUUGUCCACUCCACUGUUUUCCAUGUGAUAUCUGAGGAGUACGGUUGCCCCACAGACAUCAGGAUUAAGUCCAUUUCUACAUUUCUGACACAUAGAUAUGACUUGAUAAGGGUUAAAUAGUAUCCACACCCCCUCUCCUUAGGGUCUUUUCUGUACAAAUGACCCUCAGCCCCCCUCCAUAAGAAUAAGGAGAUCAAAUAUCACGCAGUAAUGUUCUGGACUAGGACGAGAACUUAGAACUGAGUAAUUCUGAUAAGUAGGUAAAUGUCUUUGAAGCUCAACUUCCAUGAAACAGAUUCCUGCUUAUUUUGGGGGCACAUAUGAGAGUCCAAUAAGCGAGUGGUUGGGGACAGAAGUUAUGCCUGCAUUAAACUUAUUUUUCCUACCACAGUGGUAAAAAUGAUGUACACAUGUUAAAAACUUUUAUCGGGUUGAAACCAAAAGAUGGAUUUGCAGCUCAGCCCACCUAAGCAGGAAGCUGGGGACCACGGCACCCUCAGCCCCGUCCCUACACCCUUUUACUCCAGGCCUGCCACAAGACCGUUCCAGUGUCUUGCCAAAGGUUCCACUUGGGGAGGUUUGCUGUGCAGCCACUUUGGGCACAGAUGGUCUUACCCCGCCAGAGGGAUUGACCCACGCACGACUGCCUUGGUUCACGACUAAACAGAUUCUCUUAUUAUUUGGCCCUUUAUCUGUUGUUUCAUUCAAUGAACAGCCACUGCUGGCCUGCGACAUGCCAGGCUGUGCGAGUUCACAAUGGGGAAGGCAGGCAGGGGCUAGUCCUUAGGGCCUCCUCUGCCCCCCUUGCAGACCCUGAUGAGUCCUUGAAUGUCUACCGCCUCCAGGAAGCCCAGACCCUCGUGCUGUGACUCCACAGGCACCCCCCACAAUGGGGUGGCCUGGGAGAUGUGUGAGAAUUGCAACAUUCUCUCUCUUUGCCCUGAGAGAGAAUCCAUAUGGACCCCUUGAGAGUGACAGCAGGUAGAUAGUGGCCACGAGCACCAGAAAAGAACCAAGAAGAAAAUUUAAAAUGCUCCACACUCCGACCCCUUGGACAAGCCUUUGUUUUUAAAUGCAAAUGGAAAAUAGUUCAAAUGCUGGAGAAAGACACAGAAUGAAAAGCAAAAUUCUCUCGCUGUUCCCUCCUCCAUUCCAGUUUCCCUUUCUGAAGGUUUUGGCUUUUAAUGAUUUCUUAUACUCCUUCCAGAAAGUAUCAAAUGCAUUUAUCCUUUAUAUAUCCUGUUCUUAGAAGGUUCUCCCUGAAGGUAAGAAUGGUUGGUUUCUCUAUGCUUUGAGAGCUUAACUGUGUCUGUGUGGUUUUUGUUGUUGUUUGUUUUUGCUGUUGUCGUCCUGUUGUGUCUGCAUUUAAAAAAACAACAGCCAGGGUCCCUGGGUGCCCCUGGGUCAUGUGCUACCAGAAAUUGAGCAAAUACAGUACCUGCUUAUUUUGGUAACCAUCAAGUUAAAGAGAUAAACAUUAAUGAAAGAAUUAAACAAGCAAUAUUAAAACUGAGACUGUCUUUAGUGCUAUUUGUCAAAAAUUAACAGCUUUGUGAGGUUAAAUAUAGUGGUUCAGUAUGAAUGAGUAUGGUGGGGGAGGGGGGUCAUUUGAAAGGGAUUCUUUCAUAUGUCUGCACAGAGGCAAAGGAAGAAGACUCUUUGUGUGAGAUUCAUUAGAAUUUGUGUGCAUAGAGAGAAGAAAAGGGAUUCAAACAAGUUUCCCAAUAAAGCACCACAAUUUACCCAUCCCCUUGUGGGCAAAUGCCCAGCCAAGCAGUGUUGGCCCUAAAUGGGACUGCUGAGUCCUGAAAGCAUUUUACAAGUCUAAGGUACCUUCUGGUGGAAACCACAAGAAAAGGGUUAGGCAGGGAGAGCUGGGGCUGAAGGAGAGAGAGAAAAAACAAAAAACAAAAACAAACAAACAAACAAACAAACAAAAAAACAACAGCCAGAGGAACCAGGUUCCUAAUGCUUCUCUGCCUUGAAUUAGCUGGGUCACAUCAGCAAGUUGCUUUCCCUCUCUGAGUGUCAGUCUCCUCUGCUAAAAUAGGGGCUCUUGUGGGGAUUCAGCAACAGCGUCAAUACUGAAAGGCUGGUUACCAGCAGGUGUCCCACAGAAGUCCAAGCA